rnacentral:rRNA from 1 species
CGGCAGGCUUAACACAUGCAAGUCGAGGGGCAGCACGGGUAGCAAUACCUGGUGGCGACCGGCGCAAGGGUGCGUAACGCGUGAGCAACAUGCCCUAUACAGGGGGAUAAUCCAGGGAAACUUGGUCUAAUAUCCCAUAGUAUUUAGAGGAGGCAUCUUCUAUAAAUUAAAGCUUCGGUGGUAUAGGAUUGGCUCGCGUGACAUUAGCUAGAUGGUGAGGUAACGGCUCACCAUGGCAAUGAUGUCUAGGGGUUCUGAGAGGAAGGCCCCCCCACACUGGGACUGAGACACGGCCCAGACUCCUACGGGAGGCAGCAGUGAGGAAUAUUGGACAAUGGAUGGAAAUCUGAUCCAGCCAUGCCGCGUGCAGGAAGACAGCCCUAUGGGUUGUAAACUGCUUUUAUAUGGGAGCAAUAAGGUCUACGUGUAGACUGAUGAGAGUACCAUAUGAAUAAGCAUCGGCUAACUCCGUG